rnacentral:rRNA from 1 species
UACGAAGGGGGCUAGCGUUGCUCGGAGUUACUGGGCGUAAAGGGCGCGUAGGCGGACAGUUAAGUCAGAGGUGAAAGCCCAGGGCUCAACCCUGGAAUAGCCUUUGAUACUGGCUGUCUUGAGUGCGGGAGAGGUGUGUGGAACUCCGAGUGUAGAGGUGAAAUUCGUAGAUAUUCGGAAGAACACCAGUGGCGAAGGCGACACACUGGCCCGUAACUGACGCUGAGGCGCGAAAGCGUGGGGAGCAAACAGG